AUAAAAUUCUAUGCAUGCGUGCAUGUGGACUGUAAAUAACGGUCGUAUCAUACUGUUAAACCUUCUCCAGAGACUCAAUUUUACAGGAUUAGUGUUCCAACAAACUGACUCAUAGUCGUAAACAACAACAACAACAAAAGUCAGUGAAGAGAAAAAAAAUCUCUCGACAAUACACACAGUGAAACUCCUUUACAACGAAACCUACAUGUGCGAAAAUACACCCUAGUGUGAAACAAUCUUCAUGCAUGAAAGCCAUUCCCUCUGUUCUGCUUCCCCCUACAACGAAUAGUUUGUCUGUUGCGUAAUACGAAAUCCUUUUCUCCACCCUUGCCUCGCAAAGAGGUUCACUACAACGAAAACAAGUCUACCGCAAAAGUCUAAUCUGACCUCAGCCUGCCACAGCCACUGCUAUUGCUUCGCUCGGAAAUGGCAACAGCACCCACCACAACUCGUUUACACGUGCGCAGUAGUACAGGAAGUAUUUGUUAUUGUCAGCACGUGGUUAGAAAUUUCACGAGUAGUUUCAGACACAGCACGAAUGUUGCAUUGCUUGGUAUAAAAUAGUUACAAAACGGACCUUUGCAGACCAAGGCUCUUCACAAGAAGUAAACAAAAGAAAAGCUUUAACACUUGAAGACAGGAUAAAAGUAAUGAAGAUGAAAGAUGGAGGAAGCAAAGUAAAAGACAUUAUGGAAGAAAUUGAUAUACCUGAAAGUGAAUGCUGAUCGAAAAUUCCGCAAUUUCUUUCCUUUUUUUUUUUCUUUCUAUGCUGGCUAUGAAGUGUCAAAUAAGUGUAUGCUCAUACUUAUACACUAUUGGAAUAAAAAUAAAGAGUACACUUACACGUUUUUGUGUGCGUUUGUGUUUACGUCUAAGAACAAAUUUAUUAUAGUGAAAAGUUCCCUGUUGUGAAAAAUGUCUGGGUGCAAACAUGAUUUCGUUGUUGAGGAGUUCUACUGUAGUAAGCUUUUAGUGUGAGCAAAAUAACGUUUAUAUGUUCAUACAGCUUCGUUUGCUAGCAUUAUACCCAGUUGGUGGUAAACGAGGAAAGGGCUUUUUUUUCCUUUUCUAACAGAGGUUAAAACUGAAUAUUCCACCAUCGUUUCAACAAAGCUGUAUAUGUGCCACUAUGAUUGUGCACUUAAGUGCAUGAGAAUGAUUAAGAGAUCGUGAGUCACACCUUCUGUCUCAGAUUGUUUUUUUAUUACAAAAUGAGGCCAGUGAAGGCGUUAUUUUCCAGAACCUUUAAAUCAUGCACCGCUGUUGAGUCAUCCGACAUUUUUAACAUGACAUAAUAAAAAACGUUUUUAACCCUGUCAGGGACAGCGGUUACUAUAGGGGACAGCUUAUUAUGUCAUCAGGUUAUAGAAUGCAUGAAAGGGUUAAUUCCAAAGUCUUUUUUGAUGUUUUGUUU